rnacentral:rRNA from 1 species
GAUGAACGCUGGCGGCGUGCCUAAUACAUGCAAGUCGAGCGAACAGACGCGGCGCUUGCUCCUCUCACGUUUGCGGCACACGGGUGUGUAACACGUGUAUAACCUCCCUAUAUUUCUGGGAUAACUUCGGGACACCGGCGCUAAUCCCGUAUAAUCUAUUGAUCCGCAUGGUUCAAUAGUGAAAGUCGGCUUUGCUGUCUCUUAUCGCUGGAUCCGCGCCGCAUUAGCUAGUUGGUAAGGUCACAGCUUACCAAGGCGACGAUGCGUAAACGACGUGAGAGGGGGAUAGGCCGCAUUAGAAGUUGAACACGGUCCAGACUCCUACGGGAGGCAGCAGUAGGGAACGUGCCGCAGUAGUCGAAAGCCUGACGGAGCGACGCCGCGUGAGUUAUAGAGGUCUUCGGAGCGUAAAACUCUGUUAUUAGGGAAGAACAAAUGUGUAAGGAACUAUGCACGUCGUGACGGUACCGAAUAAGAAAGCCACGGCUAACUACGUG